rnacentral:rRNA from 2 species
AGUCGAGCGGACAGAUGGGAGCUUGCUCCCUGAUGUUAGCGGCGGACGGGUGAGUAACACGUGGGUAACCUGCCUGUAAGACUGGGAUAACUCCGGGAAACCGGGGCUAAUACCGGAUGGUUGUUUGAACCGCAUGGUUCAAACAUAAAAGGUGGCUUCGGCUACCACUUACAGAUGGACCCGCGGCGCAUUAGCUAGUUGGUGAGGUAACGGCUCACCAAGGCAACGAUGCGUAGCCGACCUGAGAGGGUGAUCGGCCACACUGGGACUGAGACACGGCCCAGACUCCUACGGGAGGCAGCAGUAGGGAAUCUUCCGCAAUGGACGAAAGUCUGACGGAGCAACGCCGCGUGAGUGAUGAAGGUUUUCGGAUCGUAAAGCUCUGUUGUUAGGGAAGAACAAGUACCGUUCGAAUAGGGCGGUACCUUGACGGUACCUAACCAGAAAGCCACGGCUAACUACGUGCCAGCAGCCGCGGUAAUACGUAGGUGGCAAGCGUUGUCCGGAAUUAUUGGGCGUAAAGGGCUCGCAGGCGGUUUCUUAAGUCUGAUGUGAAAGCCCCCGGCUCAACCGGGGAGGGUCAUUGGAAACUGGGGAACUUGAGUGCAGAAGAGGAGAGUGGAAUUCCACGUGUAGCGGUGAAAUGCGUAGAGAUGUGGAGGAACACCAGUGGCGAAGGCGACUCUCUGGUCUGUAACUGACG